UACGUAGGUGGCAAGCGUUGUCCGGAAUUAUUGGGCGUAAAGCGCGCGCAGGCGGUCCUUUAAGUCUGAUGUGAAAGCCCACGGCUCAACCGUGGAGGGUCAUUGGAAACUGGGGGACUUGAGUGCAGAAGAGGAGAGUGGAAUUCCACGUGUAGCGGUGAAAUGCGUAGAUAUUGGGAGGAACACCGGUGGCGAAGGCGGCUACCUGGACCGGUUCUGACGCUGAUGCGCGAAAGCGUGGGGAGCAAACAGG
rnacentral:rRNA from 1 species